CCAGUAAGUAAGUUACAGACUUACAGUUAGAGUUCCAUUUCUCACUACCCUAAAACCCUAAAAAUUGAAAUCUUCCUCCAUCACUCACAGUCCUUUACCAAUGCUCUUCUCUCUCUCACUCUCACUCUCACCAACCACACUCACCUCCUCACCUCGCUUCAAAUUCCACUCAUGCCCGCACGUCCUCCCUCCAAAACCACCACCUCCUCGUCUACGCGCCUCCUCACAGGCACACCACGUUAUCCUCGAAGACAAUGGGAGCUUCGCCGGCGCCGGAGCUGCGGUGGAGGAAAAUAUUUUACCCGCGGGUCUCCGGACAGAGACAAUGCCGAGACACGUGGCUUUGGUCAUGGAUGGGAACAGGAGGUGGGCCCGCCUCAGGGGCUUGCCGGUCGGGUCGGGUUACUAGGCCGGUGUUCGGUCCCUGCGAGCCAUUGUAGAGCUGUGCUGCAAGUUGGGAAUUAGAGUUCUCUCUGUUUUCGCUUUCUCUAGUGAAAAUUGGUUUCGCCCUCAAGUGGAAGUUGAGUUUUUAAUGGAAUUAUUUGAAAGAGGAAUGAGAGAUGAAAUGGGGAGCUUGUUGAGGGAAAACAUUCGAAUUUCUGUGAUUGGGGAUUCCUCUAAGCUAUCAAGAUCCCUACAGGAGCUAAUAACAAGAACCGAGGAGGCCACCAAGACUAAUUGCGGACUCCAACUUAUUGUAGCAGUUAGCUACAGUGGGCAGUAUGACAUUGUUCAAGCCUGCCAGAAGAUUGCUGUAAAAGUAAAGGAUGGACUAAUUGAACCCAAUGAUAUCAAUGAGUCUCUUAUUGAACAGGAGCUGGAAACAAACUGUACCAAGUUUCCCUAUCCUGAUCUACUGAUACGUACCAGUGGGGAGCUUAGGAUUAGCAAUUUUUUGUUGUGGCAAUUGGCCUACACUGAGUUAUUUUUUGCACAAUCACUCUGGCCUGAUUUUGGAGAAGUUGAGUUUUUAGAGGCUUUAAAAGCAUUUCAACAAAGGCAGAGGCGUUAUGGUGGAAGAGAUUUUUAAGUGAUUAUGUCUUGAAUUCAGUGUUGUUGAAGAGGCAGAAAGAGAAAUACGCGAGUGUUGGUGCGAUGAAGCAAAAUAUUUAAGAGUGAUAGUUGUUGAAGAGUUCUGAUACUGAAAACUGGAAAGUGUGGGUGGACUUUUAUGUCCAUCGAUAAAGCUGAAACUGGAAAGGGCCAUCGAAUAUAGUCUCUGCAGGCCAAAUCCUUUUUUGACUUUGAUAUUGCUUCCAAAGGCACCCCAUGCCAAGUUCAUUGUUAUAAGAACCCCAAUUCUUGCUUCUGUUAAAAGUGUGAAUCUCUCUUCCGUAACCAGUUUGGCAGUGUAAGAGGUCACUAGGAUAACAUGGACUAAAUCAGCCCGAGUACCUGACCAUAUUGCAUCCUAUUAAAGUCUUAAGGUUAGACAAUAGUAGAUCUGUGGUGUAGAUUGAGACUUUUUGGCCUCUGGUGAGUGAUCUAUGUUUUCAUUCUGGAUCUUGUUUAUUUGUGUAUCUAUCAUAAUUUUACAAUUGGCCAACGCUAAAUUGUUCUUUGCACAAUCUCCACACUGUUGAGUAUGACAGCUUUUUCAUCUGUUUUUUUACAAAUUCUAUGGCUCUGUUAGAGAUUCCCCAAUAAUGUUCUUGAUUUGAGUCUGACUUGAAAACUACUUUUUUGAUUUCUGGGGCUAGGGGGUAAGUUUCAGCUGUGGGUCUUGGUUUAAGCCAAAAGGGUCUUUCACGCCAUGAUUUCUUGUUUUUUGUUGUUUCUUUUCUUUUCUCUCUUUUUACUUUGCUUUCCCCUCUGUUUAUUCUUUUCUCUUGAUGUAAUCCUAGCUAAUGUUUUAAUAAAACACUUGGUGCAAGGGGCAUAUGAAAUUUAA